CCAGGAAGGCCUUUUGAAUUCCCCUUUUUGCCUCACCAUUCCAAUAUAAGAAGCCUUGAUCUGAGUGCCUUAAAGAUCUGUUCUAGUGUGCAACAAUUUCUUGGAUUCCUAAAAAAAGAUUCAGACCAAUCAUUGUAAAGAUUACUUUGCUACUAUUGAAGUUUCUUGAUGAAAACCCUGGAAACAAGUAUCUCGUGGCUUGUCUAUUCAGGAGCAGCAGAUCAGCUCAUCUGGAAUCAUCCUGAAUGUUUAUUAGAAAGGAAGGAACUGAAGAUUUAGCCAUCUACUUCCAACAAAGCCCCAUCCAAUUCUCCUCAAUUGAAUGGAUGGAUAAGAUCACAUUACAUCUGCUUUCUGGAUGAAUGAGAUUACAUUUUGGAAAAAUUGACACAAAUGAAGAUGCCGCCGUUGACCUUUAAAGCCCUUCAGUUCAGACUAUUUGCAGGAUUGCUUCUCCCGUUGAAAACACGUCUAAGAUUACAAUCUAAAGGAAAGACCUUUCUUAAGAUGCUUCCUCUUUCAGAGGCCCAUCUAUCAGGCACAUGGAUGAUGUUCUCUCCUGCUACUAAUUUUAGGUGAUCUCUUUGACACUAUGGCAUGUACUAUCUACAGGUUAAAUUUUACUGUCCUCCAAAUUGCUUGGAUGAAGUAAAUGAAUUAAAUAUUCAUUUUUGCCAAAGUCAGAUUUAUUUUUAUUAGCUUUCUUUUAUUCAGAUAAAUAUAGAUAGAUGAUAGAUAGAUGGAGAGAGACGGAAGGAGAGCGAUGGAGAGAGAGAGAGAGGGAGGGAAUUUGUUGCUUGGUCUAUGCAGUUUCAUCUAAAAUACAAUAGUGUGUUUUGUCUUCUGACAACUAAAUAGACAAUUUCAUGCAGUUUUCUUGGCAAGAGUUUUCAGAAGUGGUUUGCCAUUGUCUCCUUCCAUGAGCUGAAAGAGAGUGACUGGCCCAAGAUCAUCCAGCUGGCUUCAUGCUUAAGUCAGGACUAGAACUUAGGUUUCCCUAAAUCCAGCACCUAAGGCACCAAUUCAAGCUAUCUAACCCUUUUGUAUAAUAAUACCCAUAAUAAUCAAUGUCACUCUUGAAGGAGUCAAAAUAGCAAAUAUAGUGCUAAUAAGUUCAAAGAGCCAACAAUGCUUUCUAGGAAAGAAGGAAGUGUGCAAAAUGUUCCACAAUCAGUACAAUAGGUAGAAAUAUUACUCUGAUAAUCUUGGGACUAAUUCAAAAAUUAUGACUUUUCUCCAGUGUGCAAAUCCAGAAAUACAUUAAUGUUUGUUUAAGAAAUGUAUAGGUAUAAUCCAAUCUCAUACUUCUCUGGAUGCACCAGGAGUCUUUUUUUUAUUAAAUUAGUUACAAUUACAGUUUUUUGGCAAAUGUUAAGAUUUAAGAAUGUAUUCAUUUUUAAGCAAAUUAAAAUGUAUGAUAGGGAUUAAAUAAGAAGAGAAAAGGAGAUACGGUUGUUUUGAGAAGUUAAAACCUUUUCUCAUUCCCCAACAUAUUUUCACAUAGAAGAAUAUGGGUUCUGCACUUUCUUAAUGCAUUGCAAAACUAGCCCUUUAUGGGUAAAGUUCUAUAAAACAGAAAUAAAUGGGUGGGAGCAAUGGUACCAUUUUAUUUUUGAUCUUGAAUAAAAGGCAAAGCCAGAAU